rnacentral:rRNA from 1 species
UACAUGGGGUGCAAACGUUGCUCGGAAUUAUUGGGCGUAAAGCGCACGUAGGCGGUUCGUUAAGUCGGAUGUGAAAGCCCUCGGCUCAACUGAGGAAGUGCACCCGAAACUGGCGAGCUUGAGUACGAAAGAGGAUCGCGGAAUUCCCGGUGUAGAGGUGAAAUUCGUAGAUAUCGGGAGGAACACCGGUGGCGAAGGCGGGUCUCUGGGCAACAACUGGACGCUGAGGAGCGAAAGCGUGGGGAGCGAACAG